rnacentral:tRNA from 1 species
GCGGGGUAGCUCAGUGGUUAGAGCGCGGGAAUCAUAAUCCCGGCGUCGGGGGUUCAAAUCCCUCCCCCG